ensembl:lncRNA
AUGGCUUUUGAUUGCUCCCAGGAAAACAAAACACAAACUCUUCAGUCAGCAAUCCUCAUCCUUAGAGUGUCCUCAUCAUCAUCACUUCUCAGAAGCCUAACUUCACUAUCCAUCAUGACACCCCCGCUCAGUCAGGCCAGCAGACAGUCCUGGACUAGACUAAGAAAAUCUCCCCUGGCUUCUCUGACCCUCAGUUCCCAACCUCUUCAAGUAAUGGGAGCACAGGAGGAGGCAUAGUGGAGCUCUCCAGUCCAACAUCAAGAGCUCAUCAUUAGCUGGAGGAAAGGAACUACUGUUCAAAGGAAGAAGCUCUAGGAGGCAGAAUCCUGAGACUUGCCACAUCAGGAGAAAGGAUGUACUUCUGAGUGUUUUACACCUGGCUCUGAAAGAAAAAGUACACAAGAUACAUUUCAGCUUAAUCUUCAUUUUUAUCAUUUUGUCUAUUGUUUUAUUGAGUCAAGCAAUGAACAAAGCAGUAUUUCAAGCCAUGAUUUGUUGUGUUUGUUAUAUCUCAUGUUGAAAUUUAACAAUUAACAGCUUGGCAAGAAUGAGCUGACUCCAACAUGCCUCAAUAAUGAACUUGAAAAAGAAGGCAUAAGAAAAGAGGGGAGCCAUGUAGAGAGAUGACUUCUGGGGUGUUCCUCUACUGUCAGGAGCCAAGCUGGAGUAGUCCAUCAAGUUGAAGGAGGUCUAGUGAGAUGAAACGAUACAGCUCACAUUAGAUGUUCAGGGCUCUAGAAGUCAGGAUAUCUGGAUAUACCUUGAAGGAACUAAACUAGAACUAGUCUAGAACUAAAAUCUAGAACACUUUCUGAAGAGACUAUAAUAGAUCUCCAGGCCUGCUACUGAAAACAUGCUGAAAGGAAGCAGGCUUAAGUUUCUACCCACAUAGCGAGGGAUAAUUUUACCCUUUUUUGAAUUUACCCCAAGAGGUCUCUACAUCUAACACCUCAGGAAGUACAACCCAUUUGUGUAUGGGGAAAGAGAAGUCAAAGAAAGGAGAACAAUAUCCUUAUAUGCAAAAAUAUUUACAAUAGCUCAUUUUGUGGUGGCAAAGAACUGGAAAUUAAGGAUAUGGUCAUAAAUUUGGUAGUGGUCAAACAAAUCAUGGCAUGAAGUAUCAACAUGGGGGAAAGGAUUAGAUUUUUAGAGCAGAGACACCAAUUGACUUCUUGAGAAGAUGCUAACUAGAGAAUGAGAAUGCAUUCAUUUAAGGGAAUGAACUUGCAGUUUGAAAUUUUUUUCUCUUAUGUUCUAGUUAAAUACUAUUGCUGAAUCUACUGACUUUAGAAUUUCCAGUAAGAUUAGGAGUGAAACAAGGAUGCCCAUUAUCACUUCUAUUAUUUAACAUUAUACUAGAAACAGUAGCAGUAGCAAUUAGAGAAGAAAAAGAAAUUUAAGGUAUUAAAAUAGGCAAUGAGGAGACCAAGCUAUCACUCUUUGCAGAGGAUAUGAUGGUCUACUUAAAGGAUCCUAGAGGGGGCAGCUGGGUAGCUCAGUGGAUUGAGAGCCAGGCCUCUGUAUUGGUUCCAAGACAGAAGGUAAGGGUUUAAAAAAAAAAAGAAUCCUAGAGAAUCAACUAAAAAGCUAGUAGAAAUAAUCAACAACUUUAGCAAAGUUGCAGGGUACAAAAUAAACCCACAUAAGUCAUCA